rnacentral:rRNA from 1 species
AGUGAACGCUGGCGGUAGGCCUAACACAUGCAAGUCGAGCGGCAGCACAGGAGAGCUUGCUCUCUGGGUGGCGCGUGUCGGACGGGUGAGGAAUACUUCGGAAUCUACUUUUUCGCGGGGGAUCACGUAGGGAAACUUACGCUAAUACCGCAUACGACCUACGGGUGAAAGCAGGGGUCCUUCGGGCCUUGCGCGAUUGAACGCGCCGAUGUCGGAGGAGCUAGUUGGCGGGGUAAAGGCCCAGCAAGGCGACGAUCCGUAGCUGGUCUGAGAGGAUGAUCAGCCACACUGGAACUGAGACACGGUCCAGACUCCUACGGGAGGCAGCAGUGGGGAAUAUUGGACAAUGGGCGCAAGCCUGAUCCAGCCAUACCGCGGUGGUGAAGAAGGCCUUCGGGUGGUAAAGCCCUUUUGUUGGGAAAGAAAUCCAGCUGGCUAAUACCCGGUUGGGAUGACGGUACCCAAAGAAUAAGCACCGGCUAACUUCGUGCCAGCCGCCGCAGUAA